UUACAGGCUAAGGGUGGAUGCCUUGGGAGGAGGUGGCGAUGAAGGACGCGCCUAGGCUGCGAUAAGCCAGGGGGAGGUGCCUAGGAACCUGUGAUCCCUGGAUUUCCGAAUGGGGUAACCCAUCCUGGGAGAACCCAGGAUAUCCAGAGGGUUAGCAUCCUCUGGAGGCGUACCCGGGGAAGUGAAACAUCUCAGUACCCGGAGGAAAAGAUACCAAUCGGUAUUCCCUGAGUAGCGGCGAGCGAAAAGGGAAAAGCCUAAACCUAAAUGCAUUUUUGCAUUUAGGGGUUAGAGGAAUAAGGCGUUCCUCUUUUUAAAUCUUUUAGAUCCUGGUGCAUGGGAUCUAAGAUUUAAAAAGAGGAGGUGAGGUUACAAAAGAGGUUUCUAGCCGAAUGUCCCUGGAAAGGGCAGCCACAGAGGGUGAAAGCCCCGUAGGCAAAAGAAACCUCUCCUCACUGCCUUAUUUCCUAAGUACCUCGAGGAAUGAUAACCUUGAGGGAAGUUGCCUGAACCAACAGGCAAGGCUAAAUACACCUCCUCACCGAUAGUGCAUUAGUACCGCGAGGGAAAGGUGAAAAGCAGGCCGAGAGGCCGGUGAAAUAGAACCUGAAACCCUUAGCCUACAAAGAGUCGGAGCCCGAUCAAGCAUUUGCUUGACGGGUGACGGCGUGCCUAUUGAAGAAUGAGCCGGCGAGUUCGAGGCAUUCGCUUGGUUAAGGCCGAUUAAGGCCGAAGCCAUAGGGAAACCGAGUGGUCUUAAUAGGGCCACCUAAGGUGGAUGCCUCGAGACCCGAAGCCAGACGAUCUACCCGUGGCCAGGGUGAAUCUCAUCGAAAGAUGAGAGGAGGCCCGAACCCGUGGGUGUCGCAAAACCCUGGGAUGAGCUGCGGGUAGGAGUGAAAAGCUUAUCGCGUCUGGGAAUAGCUGGUUCUCCCCGAAAUAGCUUUAGGGCUAGCGGCAGUAAAAAGUCUCCAGGAGGUAGAGCACUGAUAAGUUGGUAAAGGGCGAAAGCUCAGCCAACUUGUCAAACUCCGAAUUCCUGGAGAUGUUCCUGCUAGUCAGUCUAUGGGGGAUAAGCUCCAUGGACAAGAGGGGAACAACCCAGACUCCCAGCUAAGGCCCCUAAAUCCUGGCUAAGUAGGAAAGGCAGUGUUUUCCCUAUGACAACUAGGAGGUUGGCUUAGAAGCAGCCAUCCUUUAAAGAGUGCGUAACAGCUCACUAGUCGAGGGAAAAUGCGCCGAAACAUUUACGGGUUUAAGCCAGGUGCCGAAGCUGGAGACCCGUCACUUUGACGGGUGGUAGGGGAGCAUUCUCUGCGCGAUGAAGGCUUAUCCGCGAGGAGAGCUGGAGCGCAGAGAAGAGAGAAUGCCGGCAUGAGUAACCGCAAAUCAGCUGAGACCGCUGAUCGCCGUAAGGGCAAGGUUUCCUCGGCAAUGGAAAUCAGCCGAGGGUUAGGCGGGACCUAAGGCAAACCCGAAAGGGGUAGCCGAUGGAUAGCCGGUUAAUAUUCCGGCCCCACCUUUUGGUAUCCGAUGGGGUGACGAGGGAUAUAAGGAGAAGAGAGGUAGUGGUUACUCUUUCUCUCUGGAUUAGACUGGAGAGGGAGGAAAAUCCACCUCUCUGCCUUAAAUGGCAACAGUCGGCCAGAGAGAGAAGCCUCUUUCAGAGGCAACUUCUCCGAAGAGCCCUCCAAGAAAAGCCUCUAAGGGUUAAACCAAAAGGUGCCCGUACCGGAAUACCGACACAGGUGCCCGAGGCGAGUAGCCUAAGGCGAACGGGUGAUCCCUCCUCAAGGAACUCGGCAAAAAAGCGGGCGUAACUUCGGGAGAAGCCCUGCCCGAAGUGUGCUUUUAGCAUUACUUCGGGCCGCAGCGAAUGUCUCCCUGGCGACUGUUUACCAAAAACACAGCUCCCUGCUUAACUGGUUAACAGGAAGUAUAGGGGGUGACGCCUGACCGAUGCCGGAAGGUUAAAGCAUCAAGGUUAAUACUCGAGCAAGAUUCUUCUUGCUUGAGUAUUAGCUUAUGGUGCUAAGCCCCGGUCAAUGUCGGCCCUAACCCUGAGGGUCCGAAGGUAGCGCAAUUCCUUUCCGGGUAAGUUCCGGAGCGCAUGAAAGGCGUAACGACUGGGGAACUGUCUCGAGGAGGGGCCCGGUGAAAAUGCAAUCCCCGUGAAGAUGCGGGGUGCGGGCAACGGGACGAAAAGACCCCGGGAGCUUUACUGGGCUCACUCAUUGGUUUUGGUUAGGUGAUGCAGAGCGUAGUGGGGAGGCUGUGAAGCUCUGCUUUCGGGCAGAGUGGAGCCGUCAAUGGAACACCCACCUUCACCUAGCUGGAACCUAACCUCGUUUGCUAGCGAGGGACAGUGAGUGGGGGCCAGUUUCACUGGGGCGGUGGCCUCCUAAAAAGUAACGGAGGCGUCCAAAGGUCGGCUUGUCCUGGAUGGAAACCAGGAUGGAAGUGCAAAGGCAUAAGCCGGCCUGACUGCAAGGCUGACAAGCCGCGCAGAGGCGAAAGCCGGGCUUAGUGACCCGACGGCUCUUCUUGGAAAGGCCGGAGACAACGGAUAAAAGUUACCCCGGGGAUAACAGGCUGGUGUGGCCCGAGAGUCCACAUCGACGGCCACGCUCGGCACCUCGAUGUCGGCUCACCCUAGCGCGGGGCUGAAGAAGGUCCCAAGCGUCGGGCUGUUCGCCCGUUAAAAGGGUACGUGAGCUGGGUUCAGACCGUCGUGAGACAGGUCGGUCUAUAUCUGUUGCCCGCGUUUGGAGGCUUGAGGGGAGCUGGUCCUAGUACGAGAGGACCGGACUGGGGCAGCCUCUGGUGUACCAGUUGUCCCUCCAGGGGCAUAGCUGGGUAGCUAUGCUGCCAUCGGAUAAGCGCUGAAAGCAUCUAAGCGCGAAGCCGACCCCAAGAUUAGGCCUCCUUAGAGCCCCCAGGAAGAUCACCUGGUUGAUAGGCCCCUACUGGAAGCUCGGUAACGGGUUAAGGUUAGGGGUACUAAUGGGCCAAUGCCUCAGCU
rnacentral:rRNA from 1 species